ensembl:snRNA U6 U6 spliceosomal RNA
GUGCUUGCUUGAGCAGCACAUAGACUAAACUUGGAGUGAUACAGAGAUUAGCACGCCCCUGAACAAGGACACACACAAAUUUGUGAAGCGUUCCGUAGUUUU